rnacentral:tRNA from 1 species
GCCGGGGUAGCUCAGCUGGGAGAGCGCCUGGCUGAAGACCAGGAGGUCCCGGGUUCAAAUCCCGGCCCCGGCACCA